AGAGUUUGAUCAUGGCUCAGGAUGAACGCUAGCGACAGGCUUAACACAUGCAAGUCGAGGGGCAGCACGGUGUAGCAAUACACUGGUGGCGACCGGCGCACGGGUGAGUAACACGUGUGCAACCAACCCCGUACAGGGAGAUAACCCGCGGAAACGUGGACUAACAUCCCAUAAGACUCUAGAGCCGCAUGGCUCUGGAUUUAAAAUUCCGGUGGUACGGGACGGGCACGCGCGACAUUAGGUAGUUGGCGGGGUAACGGCCCACCAAGCCGACGAUGUCUAGGGGUUCUGAGAGGAAGGUCCCCCACAUUGGAACUGAGACACGGUCCAAACUCCUACGGGAGGCAGCA
rnacentral:rRNA from 1 species